AGGAUUUUAGUAUAAUGGUAAUACAUAUGACUUUUAAUCAUACAGAUAUUGGUUCGAAUCCAGUAGAUCCUA
rfam:Colletotrichum orbiculare MAFF 240422 contig03564, whole genome shotgun sequence.